GCUGUAGAUGGUGGGGCGGAACUCCUCGCGCGCGCGCUGGUCGAAGUCCUGGCCGUGGAUGAUCCGCAUCUGCUUCAGGAAGGUGGACUUGCCGCUCUCGCCCGCGCCCAGCAGCAGGAUCUUCACCAGCCGCUUCACCCUCCAAAAAAACCAUCCCUGAGCUGCCGAUGACCAGCUGAAACCUCAGCUCAUCCUCAGUCGGAGGUUCAGAGACACGCAUCGGUGACCCCAGACACACCUUGCUCGGAAACGUCAGACCCACUACAGCUGCUGGUUUAUACAGCACUACACAAAGCCCUGCCCGCUCACACACACUCCUUGAUGUGCAUGCAGAGGCCAGAGCAGGAUGUUAAGGCAGGCUCUCUCAUUGAAGCUGAAGUUCCCCAUUUCAGUUUACUCACAGGUGUGUUUCCCAGUAAGAUCUGUUUCUGGUUGCAAGGGCCUGAUACA
ensembl:antisense Gm11696 predicted gene 11696